UACGUAGGUGGCAAGCGUUGUUCGGAAUUAUUGGGCGUAAAGAGCGUGUAGGCGGCCACACAGGUCAGCUGUGAAAACUCGAGGCUCAACCUCGAGACGUCGGUUGAAACCGUAUGGCUAGAGUCCGGAAGAGGAGAGUGGAAUUCCCGGUGUAGCGGUGAAAUGCGCAGAUAUCGGGAAGAACACCCGUGGCGAAGGCGGCUCUCUGGGACGGUACUGACGCUGAGACGCGAAAGCGUGGGGAGCGAACAGG
rnacentral:rRNA from 1 species